rnacentral:tRNA from 1 species
GCGGGGAUAGCUCAGUUGGGACAGCAUCAGACCGAAGAUCUGAAGGUCGCGUGUUCGAUUCACGCUCACCGCA